AGGAUGCAGCCCUCCCGCUGUGCACACCAGUUCCCCGCUCGGCACAGCUGCCUGCUCAGCUGGGGGUUGGAAAUCAGCACUGUGAGAAAAGACAGAAAUGGCCAUGAUGCGUGCCUCUCUCUAUGAGGAAAAGACUCAAUGCAACCCCAUCAAUAUUCCAAUUCAAUGCUUCACAGAUCUUGAAAGAAAAAUUUUCAACUUUGUAUAGAAAACAAAUAUUCAGGAUAGCAAAAAUGACCCUGAACAAUAACAAAACUUCUGGAGAUAUCAUUAUGCCUGACUUUAAGUUAUACUACACAGUAAUAGUAAACCCUGCAUGGCAUUGGUAUAAAAACAACAGGUAGAUCAAUGAAAUCAAAUCGAAGACCCAGAAAUAAACCUGCACACCUAUGUAGACUUGAUUUUUAACAAAGAAGCCAAAACAAUACAAUGGAAAAGGGAGGGCAUCUUCAACAAAUGGUGUUGGUUUACCUGGAUAUCUCCAAAUAGAUCUGUAUCUAUCAUCCUACACAAAACACAAGUCCAAUGGAUCAAAGAACUUAACAGAAAACCAGACACACUUAAUCCAAUAGAACAGAAGGUGGAGCAUAUCCUUGAACUCAACCAUACAGGAGACAACUUCCUGAACAGAACCACAAUGGCUCAGGCACUAAGGUCAAGAGUUAAUAAGUAGGACUUCAUGAAACUGAAACAUUUCUGUAAGUCAAAGGACAUUGUCAUUAUGACAAAAUGGCAGCAUACAAAUUGGAAAAAGAUCUUCACUAUCCAUACAUCUGACAGAGGGAUACUAUUCAAAAAAUCCAAAUAACCCAAUUAUAAAAUGGGGUACAUAGCUAAACAAAGAAAUCUCAAGAGAGGAAUCUUGAAUAACUGAGAAAUACCUAAAGAAAUAUUCAAUGUACUUAGUCAUCAGGGACAUGCAAAUCAAAACAACCCUGAGAUUCCACCUUGCAUGCAUCAAAAUGGCUAAGAUCAAAACUCAAAGGACAGCACUUCCUGGCAAGGUUAUAGAGCAGGGUGUACACUCCUCCACUGCUUCUGGGAGUUCAAACUUGUACAACCUCUCUGGAAAUUAAUUUGGCAGUUUUUCAGAAGAUUGGGAAUAGCUCUACCUCAAGUCACAGUUAUACCACUUCUUGGCAUAUACCCAAAAGAUACUCUGCCAUCCCAUAAAUGAUUAUUCCUAAUAGCCAGAAACUGGAAACAACCUAGAUGUCCUUCAACAGAAGAAUAGAUGAAGAAAAUGUGAUUCAUUUGCACAAUGGAAUACUACCCAGCCAUUAAAAUUAAGGACAUCAUAAAUUUCACAGGCAAAUGUAUGGAACUUGAGAAUAUCAUCGUGAGUGAGGUAAUCCAAACCCAAAAGGAGAUGCAUGGCAGGAACCUAGCAUAACUGUCCUAUGAGAAGCUCUACCCAGCAGCCAAUGUAAGGAGAUGCAGUAGUUCACAUUAGAUGGAGUUGGGAGAAAGAUCGAGGGACCCGAAGAGGACAGGGACUCUACAGGAACAUCAACAAAGUCAAUUAACCUGGACCCUUUGAGGCUCCCAGAGACUGAAUCACCAACCAAAGAGCAAGCAUGACUGACCCUAGGAUCUCUGCACAUACGUAGCAGAUAAGCAGCCUGGUCUUCAUCCUGGUCUCCCAACAGCUGGAGCAGGGGUUGUCCCUGAGCCUGCUGCCUUCUGGCCUGCCUGUGGAGCCUGUGCUCCUAAUGGAUUGCCUUGUCUGGCCUCAGUGGGAGAGGAUGUGCUUAUUCCCACAGUGAUGUGAGGUGUAAAGUAUCAGAAACCAGACUGUGAAUAAAGCCACGAUGAAGUUGAGGAGGCUCUCUCUGGAGGAAGACAGCAGGACACAUGCUAUGGAGAGGAAACUGGGAAAGAUGGAGAUGAGAAUUUAUCUGUAGGGGAGGAAGUGAAAGCAAUACCAAAGGGGAUGGUGGGAGGAGGGGUUGAAAAGCUAUAGAGAAAUGUAUUUUAUGUUUGCAUAAAUAUUGCAUGCACUAUAUGUAAAGGUAUGUACAUACAUAUAUAAAGAGCUAAAUGAAGAUAUGCCACUUGAGGCAAUAGCCAUAGACCAUAGAGCAAAAUCUCCAGGACUUCCUUCAACUUGUUGGUCAAGGGAACCUAAGAGACUCUGAACACAAUAUAGGUGAUUGCCACAGCACGUGGUUAAAUCCCAGAACUUUUAGGUAAAGCCCUAUUGCAGAAAACACCAUGUAGUUCAGACACAGGAUGGGGUGGAGCCAAGUUAAACUUGAACUGACCAGGAAUCCCCUCCCUGAGGGCUGCUUUCAUAGUACAGGAAGAGGCUAUGAAAGCUUCAGGGGAGAGAAAUAGCUAAAGUCCUACCCAGCUGUGAAGUCUAAGAACCAAAACCAUGGCCAGCUCAGCAGAUAUUCCCAUGGCAAGCUCACAGUCAACUGUGACUCCAGUUACAGAGGAUCUGAUCUAUUCUUCUGGCAUUCAUAAGCCCUACACUCAGAAGCACAUAUCCCCUAAUAUACUGACAUGUACAAAUACAUAAUUAAAACUAAUAAAAUAUUACGUGGAAAAGAAUUUAUGCCAUCAGUAUUAUAUGCCCCUUAUUAUGUCCUUGGACUGUGAGUUAUCAUAUAAGUUUUUCAUAGCUCUUUCAUUAAGUCUUUUUCCACUCCCUCAUUUUGCCAUAUGCUAAUACCUUCCAUGUUUAAAUCUUAGUUCUUCAAAUAUCCCCAUAUCUAAUCUUAUUUUACCUCUGUUUCUGCACCUCCACUUUCAUGGUGAGUCUGUCUUCAAUUACAAGGAUUCCAUAUAUACUCCAAAGUUAAACAUCUGAAAACAAAUUACCCAAGCUAGAAUACACCUACAAGAGAGAACACCCUGCACUUGUCCUUCUGAGCCAUUAUGAUCUCACUUAGCAUAUACUUCCAGGUCAUCCAUUUCUAUCCAAAUUUCAUAAUACUAUUUUUAAGAACAUGCCACAUUUGUCUUUCUGAGCCAGGGAAACCUCACUGAUCUUUCCAGGUCACCCAUUUCUCUGCAAAAUGUGUGAUAUUGUUUUUAUUUGUAGCUAGAUAAUAUUCCACUUUGUAAAGGUGAUAAAUGUUCAUUAUCCAUUUAUCAGCUGAUGGACAUCUGGGUUGUUUCCAUUUCAAAGCUACUGUGAAUACAGAAGCCAGUGCUCCACUAUAGAUGAGCAUCUAUAACAAUGUCUCCCAAUCUAAGGCUCAGGGAAUCACAGAAGAGUAGGUGGAAAGAAGGGGAGAGACAGGGAAAGGAGAGAAAAGCAGUGAAAUCCUGUCUCCUUCAUGUGCAUGGCAGACACACAAGUCAUGUCACCAUAGCAACAGUUGACUGCACAGACACAGACAAGAUAAAGCCCAUUUAAAUUCUAGCAUGGAUAGGGAAGGAGUCCUGAGGCCCCAUCCCUAGAUCAAGAGCCAUUGGCAGUUGGUGGUGGACAGAGAGUCACUUUUUUGGGGAUAGGUAGUACAUGACUCCUGUCCCAGUGCAUAACCCCACAUUUAUUUGCACAUAGGAAGCACUAAUUGGAUUCAGUGGGCUAUGAACAACAAGAACAAC
rnacentral:lncRNA from 1 species